rnacentral:lncRNA from 1 species
AGGGAAGGUGUGAUGUCAAGAAUUAUGUGCUUUACUGGGGGUUUGGACUCACGAAGGAUUGGCUGGUUAUUAAGGUCUGGGAUUCGAUUCUGUCCUGUUUGCAAGCUAGUAAGUUAGCCUGUUACUAUUUUGUGGAUGCUGGCAGAAAACACAAAACUUCCGCAUCAAAGAAAAAGGACUUUAUUACUCAAGGCACAGAAAGCAGUUUGACUAUCAUGUUUGGUUUAAUGCCUCUUGCCUCCCAAAUUUCACAGCAGCGACAUGGAGGAUCCCAGGUGGGAAAUCCCAUGACUUGAGGAAUCCACUGCUUUUGUAGGAAAUGGUGGAGCACGGCAAGGAUGGCAUCUGCAGUGGUGUUGGGGGACAUCCUGGUGGCCCAGAGUGGGAUAAUGCAGUUCAAGUGGGGUCAAGAGAACAUCCUACAGAGGAGAGGGUGGCCUGGUAUAGGGUGUCAGACCCCAAGCAAGGUAAGGAGGGUAAACCACUUACCUGGGGCAGCCUGGCCCUGGAAAGUCAGAGCCUGAGCUCAGAGCUCCUGAGGAAGGUGAAGGGGUGAGGGUUGGGGGGUUGGUAACACAAGGAAAACCUGGAAAGAGGACUAUAGAGCCCAGCACAGAAGGGCAGGAAUCUCAGCAGAUGGGGGAGUGAGGCAAGGAUUAGAGAGUGUUUGCAUACAAGGGUGUCAUAUUGUGAUUUACAAUAAGAAGUAUGAGAGUUCCCAUUAUGGCUCAAUGAGUUAAGGACCUAACAUUGUCUCUCUUAGGAUGUGGUUCAAUCCCUGGCCUCGCUUAGUGGGUUAUAGGGAUCCAGCAUUGCUGCAAGCUAUGUUGUAGUUCACAUAUUUGGCUCAGAUCUGGCAUUGCUGUGUCUGUAACAUAGGCCUCAGCUGCCGCUCCAAUUCAUCCCUGGCCUGGGAAUUUCCACAUGCUGCAGGUGUGGCCAUAAAUGGAGAAAAAAAAAAAAAGAAAUAUAUAUUUCAUCUUCCAGUUUCUGCCACAGA